AUUGAACGCUGGCGGCAGGCCUAACACAUGCAAGUCGAGCGCGUGGCGGACGGGUGAGUAAUGUAUGGGUCUCUGCCCGAUGGAGGGGGAUCACUACUGGAAACGGUAGCUAAUACCGCAUACUAUCGGAUGCGCCCAGAUGGGAUUAGCUAGGAGGUGGGGUAAAGGCUCCCCUAGGCGACGAUCUCUAGCUGGUCUGAGAGGAUGACCAGCCACAAUGGGACUGAGAAACGGUCCAAGAUCCUACGGGAGGGAGCAGUGGGGAAUAUUGCACUAGGGGGGGAAGCCUGAUGCAGCCAUGCCGGGUGUAUGAAGAAGGCCUUAGGGUUGUAAAGUACUUUCAGCCGGGAGGCGUUACCCGCAGAAGAAGCACCGGCUAACUCCGUGCCAGCAGCCGCGGUAAUUC
rnacentral:rRNA from 1 species